AAAAGCUCAGUUGACAUCAUGUAUUAACUGAUCAGUCUCCACAGACUUCCUCCUCAAAAUGAAGUUGCCUGUUCUUCUGUUGGUGCUCCCGUUGUUCACAAUUCCUGCUUCCAGAAGUGAUGUUGUGAUGAUCCAAACUCCACACUUCUUGCCUGUCAGCCUUGGAGAGCAAGUCUCCAUCUCUUGCAGAUCUAGUCAGAGUCUUGUACACAGUAAUGGAAAUACCUAUUUGCAUUGGUACCUGCAGAAGCCAGGCCAGUCUCCAAAGCUCCUGAUCUACAAGGUCUCCAACAGAUUUUCUGGGGUGCCAGGCAGGUUUAGUGGCAGUGGGUCAGGCACAGAUUUCACACUCAAGAUCAGCAGUGUGGAGCCCGACGAUUUUGGAGUAUAUUACUGCUUGCAAACCACACAUGGUACUCCCACAGUUAUUCAGACCCUAACAAAAACAUCCUUGCUUGGUGCGGCCCAGCUGCGAAAUAUAUUACUUAUCUCUGUGUGAGAAAGUUGCUGCAGU